rnacentral:SRP_RNA from 1 species
GCCGGGUGUGGUGGCUCAUGCCUGUAGUCCCAGCUAUUCGGGAGGUUGAGGCUGGAGGAUCGCUUGAGUCCAGGAGUUCUGGGCUGUAGUGCGCUAUGCUGAUCAGGUGUCCACACUAAGUUUGGCAUCAACAUGGUAACCUCCCGGGAGCGGGGGACCACCAGGUUGCCUAAGGAAGGGUGAACCGGCCCAGGGCAGAAAUGGAGCAGGUCAGAACUCCCAUGCUGAUCAGUAGUGGGAUCAGGCCUGUGAAUAGCCACUGCACUCCAGCCUGGGCAACAUAGCAAGACCCUGUCUCU